rnacentral:rRNA from 1 species
GAUGAACGCUGGCGGCGUGCUUAACACAUGCAAGUCGAACGGGAAACCUUUUAUUGAAGCUUCGGCAGAUUUAGCUGGUUUCUAGUGGCGGACGGGUGAGUAACGCGUGGGUAACCUGCCCUAUACAGGGGGAUAACAACCAGAAAUGGUUGCUAAUACCGCAUAAGCGCACAGGGCCGCAUGGUCCGGUGUGAAAAACUCCGGUGGUAUAGGAUGGACCCGCGUUGGAUUAGCCAGUUGGCAGGGUAACGGCCUACCAAAGCGACGAGCCAUAGCCGGCCUGAGAGGGUGAACGGCCACAUUGGGACUGAGACACGGCCCAGACGCCUACGGGAGGAAGCAGUGGGGAAUAUUGCACAAUGGGGGAAACCCUGAUGCAGCGACGCCGCGUGAAGGAAGAAGUAUCUCGGUAUGUAAACUUCUAUCAGCAGGGAAGAUAGUGACGGUACCUGACUAAGAAGCCCCGGCUAACUACGUG